AGCGAACGCUGGCGGCAGGCCUAACACAUGCAAGUCGAACGAACCUUUCGGGGUUAGUGGCGGACGGGUGAGUAACACGUGGGAACGUGCCUUUAGGUUCGGAAUAACUCAGGGAAACUUGUGCUAAUACCGAAUGUGCCCUUCGGGGGAAAGAUUUAUCGCCUUUAGAGCGGCCCGCGUCUGAUUAGCUAAUUGGUUGAGGUAAUGGCUCACCAAGGCGACGAUCAGUAGCUGGUCUGAGAGGAUGAUCAGCCACAUUGGGACUGAGACACGGCCCAAACUCCUACGGGAGGAAGCAGUGGGGAAUCUUGCGCAAUGGGCGAAAGCCUGACGCAGCCAUGCCGCGUGAAUGAUGAAGGUAUUAGGAUUGUAAAAUUAUUUCACCGGGGACGAUAAUGACGGUACCCGGAGAAGAAGCCCCGGCUAACUUCGUG
rnacentral:rRNA from 1 species